UGAAUACGAGAUGCUACGGCGUCGAAGCAGUCUAUGUCAUACUUCCAAGAAAAGCUUGCACUGUCAUAAACAAAUAAUGCCUGUACCAUAACCGACACAGGUGGGUAGGUAGAGUAUACUAAGGGGCGCGAGAUAACUCUCUCUAAGGAACUCGGCAAAAUGACUCCGUAACUUCGGGAGAAGGAGUGCCUUAUUUAUAAGGUUGCAAUAACAAGACCCAAGCAACUGUUUAUCAAAAACACAGGUCUCCGCUAAGUCGUAAGACGAUGUAUGGGGGCUGACGCCUGCCCAGUGCCAGAAGGUUAAAGAAGUUGGUUAGCAUUAGCGAAGCUGAUGACUGAAGCCCUGGUGAACGGCGGCCGUAACAAUAACGGUCCUAAGGUAGCGAAAUUCCUUGUCGGGUAAGUUCCGACCCGCACGAAAGGCGUAAUGAUUUGGGUACUGUCUCAGAGAGGGACUCGGUGAAAUAGACUUGUCUGUGAAGAUGCGGACUACCUGCACCUGGACAGAAAGACCCUAUGAAGCUUUACUGUAACCUGAAAUUGAAAUUGGACUUUAUUUGCGCAGUAUAGGUGGGAGGCUUUGAAGAUAUUCUUGCGGGAAUGUUGGAGCCAUCAGUGAGAUACCACUCUUGUAAUGUUAGAUUUCUAACUCUGUAUCAUUAUCUGGUCAAAGAACAGUUUCAGGCGGGCAGUUUGACUGGGGCGGUCGCCUCCUAAACGGUAACGGAGGCGCACAAAGGUUUCCUCUGAACGGGUAGAAAUCGUAUCUAGAGUGUAAAGGCAUAAGGAAGCUUGACUGUGAGACCUACAAGUCGAGCAGGGACGAAAGUCGGUCUUAGUGAUCUGACGGUGCUGAGUGGAAAGGCCGUCACUCAACGGAUAAAAGUUACUCUAAGGAUAACAGGCUGAUCUCCCCCAAGAGUUCACAUCGACGGGGAGGUUUGGCACCUCGAUGUCGGCUCAUCGCAUCCUGGGGCGGUAGUACGUCCCAAGGGUUGGGCUGUUCGCCCAUGAAAGCGGUACGCGAGCUGGGUUCAGAACGUCGUGAGACAGUUCGGUCCAUAUCCGGUGUAGGCGUUAGAAUAUUGAGAGGAGCCUUCUCUAGUACGAGAGGACCGAGAAGGACACACCUCUGGUGUACCAGUUAUCGUGCCAACGGUAAACGCUGGGUAGCUAUGUGUGGAGCGGAUAACCGCUGAAAGCAUCUAAGUGGGAAGCCCACCUCAAGAUAAG
rnacentral:rRNA from 1 species